AGCGAACGCUGGCGGCAGGCCUAACACAUGCAAGUCGAACGAACUCUUCGGAGUUAGUGGCGGACGGGUGAGUAACACGUGGGAACGUGCCUUUAGGUUCGGAAUAACUCAGGGAAACUUGUGCUAAUACCGAAUGUGCCCUUCGGGGGAAAGAUUUAUCGCCUCUAGAGCGGCCCGCGUCUGAUUAGCUUGUUGGUGAG
rnacentral:rRNA from 1 species